AUAUCUCUCCGUACGGGAAGGAUGAGAAGCUUCGACUAAGGUUCGAUUCGAGCGCAGCGAGAAAGCGUUGCCGCAGGCAACGACCCGAAGGGUGAAG
rnacentral:sRNA from 1 species